CCAUUUGAAGUGCUGUCUGCUCCUUGGCCUUCUGGCAUGAUUGUAAGCUUCCUGAGGCCUCCCUAGAGGAUGAGUACAUGGCAGCAUCAUGCUUCCUGUACAGGCCGCAGAACUUGUGAUAGAGGCCAAAUCCAUGCCAGGGCUGAAGACCAAGAAUGGAGUAAUGUCUGCAGAGAGAAGGGGUACAGCCAUAGAGUUCAGAAAACCAGGAUCCAGUGAUCUUGGAUAAAGCCAUCUUGCCUGUUUUCAUAAAAGUCUGAAAUACGGAGGAGACCCUGAUUUAUAUUUUCCAUAGAAGAGAAGAGAGAUUGAGAUGACUCUCUUGCAGUGAGGUAUGGCGUGUCCUCUCCAUGACAAUGUGAGGGAAAGUGAUGUAUGCCACUUCCAGGUUCUAUGGAACCCUGGAAUGAAGAGGAUGCCAACCUUGAAAAGCUAUUCUAGUUCUUUCAAUGUGCCAUAAUGGUAUAGGAGCAAAUGUUUCUGCUGAGAUGCAUCCUGGGAAAUACUGUUCUCUUUAAAACUGCAGGAGUGGCCCCCGUUGAGAUGGAGGUUGAACAAGCAUUUCCCUAGAGUCCUGUGGUCCAUAGCAUUGUCUGCUAAGAUGCUGGGCUGUCCUGGAGCUGCGGCUGGAGUCAGGUUCAAAUGCAGCACCCGGCAGCACACUACACAGGUGAGGACACCAUGUUCCUCUACUGUUGUGGAUGCAGCCCUCACCAGACGACCGAACCUGCCAGUGCCUUGUUCUUGGACUUCCUAGCCUUCAGAACUGCCAGAAUCCUGCUAGGACAUCUCUGCCUGUGGAAGGAGGGCUGGAUGGCAUACUGGGAAUGGCUUUCUAGGAUGACUUCCUGUUGCUACAGACUACAAGAAGCAUUUCUGGCCUUGAUGUUGUCUGAAUGAAGAAGACAUAGGAGUUUCACCAAAGCACUCUCCUCUCCAAGAAAUUUCAGCAUGGAGAGAAAGAAAGUUUUACCACCAAUUUGUGCCUGAAACACAAGAUGAACAGACGUCUUCUGCAUUAAAAAAGGACAUAGGCAUGCAUUAAAUCCCUUAUGUCUUACUUUUUAAUGAUGCAAUUGUGAAUUAUGUUCUUGUUGCAUUUGUAAUUAGAGGCUGCAGCAGAUGGUGAAGACUUAUUUUAAAGUGAUGUGUCUAUUAAAAUAAGCCAC
rnacentral:lncRNA from 1 species